rnacentral:rRNA from 1 species
GACGAACCGUGCGAACGUUGUUCGGAUUCACUGGGCUUAAAGGGCGCGUAGGCGGGCCGCCAAGUCAGGGGUGAAAUCCUCCGGCUCAACCGGAGAACAGCCUUUGAUACUGGCGGCCUCGAGGGGGGUAGGGGCAGGCGGAACUUCCGGUGGAGCGGUGAAAUGCGUAGAUAUCGGAAGGAACGCCGGUGGCGAAAGCGGCCUGCUGGACCCCAUCUGACGCUGAUGAGCGAAAGCUAGGGGAGCAAACGGG